rnacentral:rRNA from 1 species
UACGGAGGGUGCAAGCGUUAUCCGGAUUUACUGGGUUUAAAGGGUGCGUAGGUGGGUAGGUAAGUCAGUGGUGAAAUCUUCGAGCUUAACUCGGAAACUGCCAUUGAUACUAUUUAUCUUGAAUACUCUGGAGGUAAGCGGAAUAUGUCAUGUAGCGGUGAAAUGCUUAGAUAUGACAUAGAACACCAAUUGCGGAGGCAGCUUACUGCAUAGUUAUUGACACUGAGGCACGAAAGCGUGGGGAUCAAACAGG